AAGUCGUAACAAGGUUUCCGUAGGUGAACCUGCGGAAGGAUCAUUACAGUUUUCUGCGCUUAAUUGCGCGAAAUACACAGUGUUUCUAUAUACAAUUAUCUCCAGUGGGCGAAAGCACGCUGGAGCAACUUCAACUAACUUUAUUAUUUUUUGUCAACAAACUAUUAAUAUCAAAACUUUCAACAACGGAUCUCUUGGUUCUC
rnacentral:misc_RNA from 1 species